UGGGGAAUCUUGGACAAUGGGGGCAACCCUGAUCCAGCGAUGCCGCGUGAGCGAAGAAGGCCUUAGGGUUGUAAAGCUCUUUCGCCCGCGACGAUGAUGACGGUAGCGGGAGAAGAAGCCCCGGCUAACUCCGUGCCAGCAGCCGCGGUAAUACGGAGGGGGCUAGCGUUGUCCGGAAUUACUGGGCGUAAGGCGCGCGUAGGCGGUCCACCAAGUCGGGGGUGAAAGCCCGGGGCUCAACCCCGGAAUGUCCUCCGAGACUGUUGGACUGGAGUUCGGGAGAGGAGAGCGGAAUUCCCAGUGUAGAGGUGAAAUUCGUAGAUAUUGGGAAGAACACCGGUGACGAAGGCGGCUCUCUGGCCCGCAACUGACGCUGAGGCGCGAAAGCGUGGGGAGCAAACA
rnacentral:rRNA from 1 species